rnacentral:rRNA from 2 species
UGCAGUCGAGCGAACUUUUGCGUGUAGCUUGCUCCCAAAGGUUAGCGGCGGACGGGUGAGUAACACGUGGGUAACCUGCCUGUAAGACUGGGAUAACUUCGGGAAACCGGAGCUAAUACCGGAUAACAUAUGAGACCGCAUGGUCUCGUAUUAAAAGAUGGCUUCUCGCUAUCACUUACAGAUGGACCCGCGGCGCAUUAGCUAGUUGGUGAGGUAACGGCUCACCAAGGCAACGAUGCGUAGCCGACCUGAGAGGGUGAUCGGCCACACUGGGACUGAGACACGGCCCAGACUCCUACGGGAGGCAGCAGUAGGGAAUCUUCCGCAAUGGACGAAAGUCUGACGGAGCAACGCCGCGUGAGCGAAGAAGGUCUUCGGAUCGUAAAGCUCUGUUGUUAGGGAAGAACAAGUAUCGUUCGAAUAGGGCGGUACCUUGACGGUACCUAACCAGAAAGCCACGGCUAACUACGUGCCAGCAGCCGCGGUAAUACGUAGGUGGCAAGCGUUAUCCGGAAUUAUUGGGCGUAAAGCGCGCGCAGGCGGUCCUUUAAGUCUGAUGUGAAAGCCCACGGCUCAACCGUGGAGGGUCAUUGGAAACUGGGGGACUUGAGUGCAGAAGAGGAGAGCGGAAUUCCACGUGUAGCGGUGAAAUGCGUAGAGAUGUGGAGGAACACCAGUGGCGAAGGCGGCUCUCUGGUCUGUAACUGACGCUGAGCGCGAAAGCGUGGGGAGCGAACAGGAUUAGAUACCCUGGUAGUCCACGCCGUAAACGAUGAGUGCUAAGUGUUAGAGGGUUUCCGCCCUUUAGUGCUGCAGCAAACGCAUUAAGCACUCCGCCUGGGGAGUACGGUCGCAAGACUGAACUCAAGGAAUUGACGGGGGCCCGCCAGCGGUGGACAUGUGGUUUAAUUCGAAGCGCGAAAACUACCAGGUCUGACAUCCUCUGACACUCUAGAUGGAUUUCUUUCUGGAGAAUGAC